UUCGGAUCGCACAUUAUCUUACAAGAGGUGUAACAUAUCCCUGGAAUAGCUAGUUUCGGUACUUUUAUGCAUUGGUUCAUGAUACAAUUUUUCAUACAUUCCUUUGUUACGAUGGAAUCAGAAACUUGUGCUGAAAGCAACAUUGUAAAUAAAUUUACAACAAUGAAGGCGCGGUAAAUACUCUUUGACACUUGAACUGCCAUCAUGUGAAUAUACAAAACUUCGAGACAAUUUUUUUUUCUUGUUUGUUUAUUUUAGUGAGAAAAUAGAUGAUUUGC
rnacentral:lncRNA from 1 species